CCUGGUUGAUCCUGCCAGUAGUAUAUGCUUGUCUAAAAUAUGAAGCCAUGCAAGUCUAAGUACACACGGCCGGUAGAGUGAAACUGCGAAUGGCUCAUUAAAUCAGUUCUGGUUCCUUUGAUCGCACCAACAUUACUUGGAUAACUGUGGCAAUUCUAGAGCUAAUACAUGCAAACGAGCGCUGACCUCCGGGGAUGCGUGCAUUUAUCAGACCCAAAACCCAUGCGGGCCAAUCUCGGUUGCCCCGGCCGCUUUGGUGACUCUAGAUAACUUGGAGCCGAUCGCGCGCCCUUUGUGGCGGUGACGUCUCAUUCGAAUGUCUGCCCUAUCAACUUUCGAUGGUACUUUCUGUGCCUACCAUGGUUACCACGGGUAACGGGGAAUCAGGGUUCGAUUCCGGAGAGGGAGCCUGAUAAAUGGCUACCACAUCCAAGGAAGUCAGCAGGCGCGCAAAUUACCCACUCCCGACUCGGUGAGGUAGUGACGAAAAAUAACAAUACAGGACUCUUUCGAGGCCCUGUAAUUGGAAUGAGUACACUUUAAAUCCUUUAACGAGGAUCCAUUAACGAGGAUCAAGUAUGGUGCCAGCAGCAGCGGUAAUUCCAGCUCCAAUASCGUAUCUUAAAGCUUGUAUCGGGAUCGAGCGCCCAACCUUCUUUCGGGACGGAAGGCGUCUUCCUCCACCUUCAUCCUUCAAUACAAAUGGGUUACCAGGUAUACAGAAAAGGGAAAGAGUCCAGAGGCCCAGAGAGAGAGUGGGCAAGCGGACUAAGAAAGGUGGGUGCCCGGCUGGAAAGUACCACCGGCACCUGGUAACCCAGAGUCCAGAGUCCAGAGGCCCAGGGAGAGAGUGGGCAAGCGGACUAAAAAAGGUGCAAACCACACAAAGCAGGUAAAAAAAACACAGCACAGUACAAAAACCCACAUAAA
rnacentral:rRNA from 1 species